UCGAGGAUCUUCGGCAAUGGGCGCAAGCCUGACCGAGCGACGCCGCGUGUGCGAUGAAGGCCUUCGGGUUGUAAAGCACUGUCGAGGGGGAGAAAGCCCCGCAAGGGGUUGAUCUAUCCCUGGAGGAAGCACGGGCUAAGUUCGUGCCAGCAGCCGCGGUAAGACGAACCGUGCGAACGUUGUUCGGAAUCACUGGGCUUAAAGGGCGCGUAGGCGGGCGGUCAAGUCUGUGGUGAAAUCCUUCGGCUCAACCGGAGAAUAGCUGGAGAUACUGGCCGUCUCGAGGGGGGUAGGGGCAUGUGGAACUUCCGGUGGAGCGGUGAAAUGCGUAGAUAUCGGAAGGAACGCCGGUGGCGAAAGCGACGUGCUGGACCCUUACUGACGCUGAGGCGCGAAAGCCAGGGGAGCAAACGG
rnacentral:rRNA from 1 species